AAAAAAGGAUUCUAGCCACACAUAGACAUAUGAACUAGAAUCAAUAUGUCAAUAAAAUAGAAAAAUAUUCAACAAUAAAACCGUAGUAAAAUCGAGAUUCUUCAGUUCUUGCUCUGGCUCCGUCCUCCGUCUCUCACAGCUCUUAGGAAAAGUAAAAUAUGAUUAAAAAACCAUUUUCAAUAUGUUUCUGGGUAGUAUUUAUAUGCCAUAGGACUCAAAAUAUAGGUCAAAACCGUGUAGGAUCGAAAAAUAGAUGAAAUAACUCCAAAAUCGCGCAAAAUCUGAGUUGGCACGCAGCCCAAGGCGCGGCCGCGCGCCCAGCCCGCAUGGCGAAAUAGAAAAUUCGUCGGACUCCUGAUAGCUUUGCGCAGUGAUUUUUUUGCUCGUUCUCUCUCCUCCGAACUCCGAUUUACGAUUCAUUUGCACUAACGAACUCCUCUCGAGAUGAACUACAACUUGUAUUUUAUCCAAUUCUUCCAAAUUUUGCUUCAUUAUUUCUGAAAAUUCGUUCAAACAACAAGCAAGUGACAAGUUCUUGACCAUAAACCAAUAUAAGCUCAAAUAAACCAUCAAACACACAAAAUCCUCAUAACUAAACAUCAAAUAUGAAACACCAAGAGGUUAAAAUGCAUGUUUAUAAGUUAACCGCCCAAAACCCGUGAUUUUUGCCUGAAAGAUCGCGCCGGUCCGCGCCUAGCCUGCCGCCUCGUCUGCCAUAAAGGGAACCGACGGUUAACCGCGGGCCGAGACCGAUGAUUAAUCAUCGGUUCUCGGUUCUGAAAAGUUGGUCCUGUAAAUGGACCACCCCUUCUGUCGGUUCCAGUUUCGGUUUAGGCGUGUGGUCAACGGGCCGAGCCAAAACCGUUGACCCCGGGCUGGUUCGGGCCGAAACUGUUGGGUCCGGUUCGAACUGGACAUCACUAAGUUGGAGUAAUUGCAUAUGUAAAAUCUCUUGUAUAAAUAGGUAAACUGCAACAUUUCUAUGACUAGAACUCGGCCUGGGUUUUAAAAAGCCCGAGGCGCACGAGGCGCAAACAUGCCUCGGAGCCUAGGCGCAGGGCUUUAAGCGCAGGCGCGGGCUUUUCGUAGGUGAGGCGCAGUAAAGCCUAAAAAAUUCUAAUAUAUUUACCUACAUUAUAUUUUAUACCAAAAACACAACUUAAAACCACAAAUAGUACUUAAACACACAUAUACUUAAUCCAAAACACACAAAUACUUAAUCCAAAACACACAAAUACUUAAGUUUUAAAAUAUGCAAGUCUAAAAGUACGAUCAAAUAUCAAACAAGUAAUCAAAAAUCAUCAUCCUCAAGUCCAUCAUCCUCAAAUGCGUCAUCCCCAUCAUCUUUGUCUUCACCAAUGUCCUCUUCCAUCUCAUUCACUUCCCUCUCCUCAUCUUCAUCCUCAUCUAAAAGCCUUCUCGAACUCGAAGCAACUACACUCUUUCCUUUAUCAACUCUAGAUGCCCGUCUAGUGCUAUAAAUAGGAUCAUUAGCUCCCGAAGCCUUACUAACGACAUUCCAUGUCAAAUCACCAUCCUCAAACACAAGAUCAUCUUCAUUAGAAGAUUCCCCAUCCAUAUGUCCAACCAACCAUUCAUUGCUAUCAUCAAUCUCUUCUAAUAGAAUAGGAUCUAUUGUGUCUUUCCUCUUGUAUCGCCUUUCCAAAGUGCGAUUAUACUUCACAUAAACCAAUUUAUUGAGCCGAUCUUGUGCCAAUCGGUUUCUCUUCUUGGUAUGAAGCUAUAAAAAUAUAAAAGAUAAUAGGUUAAAAUCAUAUUUAUGUAUUAUAGUCAAAGUAAAAUAAAAUAAUAACUUACAUGAUCAAAGACACUCCAAUUUCUCUCACAUCCGGUAGCACUACAAGUGAGGCUAAGAACUUUUAUCGCAAAUGAUUUGAGGUUGGGACUUGAAGAUCCAUAACAAGACCACCAAUCCGCUAUAGACAUUUUAAAAAUGACGGUUUGUUAGAAUAUGAAGCAUUAAUUAAUUCAACACUUAAUUAGAUUUUCAAAUAUAAAAUGUUACCUGGUGAUUUGACCUUUCUAUGUCUAAUUGCCAUUGCAUUGCCAAAUAGACCAUCUGCAUUUUUGUAGGCAUCCAACUCAGCCAUGACCUUGUCUUGAGUUGGUUCAUCGGGAAUCAACCUUUGAAUGCAUUCAUACAAGCCUUGCUCAAUCUCUUGGCAACUCACUUGAUCCGGAUUAUCAUAAUAGAUUUCCGGAUUAAGAAAGUAUCCGGCCGCAUGUAAAGGACGGUGAAGUUGGCAAUCCCAUCUUUUAUCAAUGAUCCCAAACGCUUCUUUGUAAUGCUCCUCCUUGUGACCAAAACUCUUAGCAAUAGCCUCCUUAGCUCUAUCCAUAGCUUCAUAAAUGUACCCCAUGGCCGGUUUUUUAUCCCCAUCAACCAUCCGAAGUACCGUCACAAGAGGACCUCCCAACUUAAGAGCAUACAACACAUUCCUCCAAAAUGUGUCUUGCAAAAUAUAAGCUGUCACCUUCUUUCCCCCCGCUUCCUUUGCCCACUUUGAAGCAUUCCACUCUUCCGAAGUCACCAUCUUCCUCAAGUUGUUCUUUUGCUUAUGAUAUUGUGCAAGAGUGAUAAAGGAAGUUGCAAACCUUGUGACCGCCGGUCGAUGCAAAUUCCUUUGAUUUGUGAAUCUUCUCAUCAUGUUGACAACGGCGACGUGGUUAUAUAUAUAACCAUUCAUGAAGAUCGCCUUCUUGAGGGCAUUCUUGAUCUUUGGAAGCUUUCCAAUAUCCUCCAACAUCAAGUCCACGCAAUGUGCGGCACAUGGAGUCCAAUAAAGAUGUGGUCUUUUUGUCAUAAGCAAUUUCCCUAUCAUAAAAGAUUAAAAGCUUUAAUACUUAAGAAAAUAAUAAAGUGAUUGUAUAAAAUUGAAGAUGAUUUAAAUUUCUUACCCGCUUUGACAUAGUUAGAUGCAUUAUCCGUCACCACUUGCACAACAUUUGCCUCUCCAACUUCCUCAACAAUAGAAUCAAGCAUUUGAAACAAAGUGAUUGCAUCUUUCACAACUUCGGAUACUUCCACCGAUUUGAUGAACACGGACCCUUUUGGAGAAUUGACAAGGAAGUUCACAAUAUCCUUUUGCACCACCGAAUCACGCCAUCCAUCGGAUAAAAUAGAACAUCCCUUUGUGGCCCAUUCUUUCUUGAACUCCAACACUUUGGUGUCCGUGUCUUCCACUUCCUUUUGAAGAAAAUGAACUCUUAGCUCAUACAUGCUCGGUGGUUCCAAUCCGGGACCAUAUUGUCCAAUUUCUUCAACCAUGUUCUUGAAACUAUCACUAGUGGCCGGAUGGAAAGGAAUAGCAUUGUCAUAAAAGAACCUUGCAAUUGCUUUACAAGCUCUUUCCCUACAUAACUUGUCACUAGCACCAAAGACUCCUUUUCUUUCUUUUCUUCCCUUCAAUACUUCAUGAGUUUGAGAACUAGGUUGGCUACAAGCAAGAUAAACAUCUAAAGGACCUUUCAUCCUCUUUGGAGCCGGGGCCUUCUUACUCGUCAUGGUGCGUGAGCUACCUCCAAUUUCCAUCUCUUCAUCCUCUUCUUGAUCAUCAACAUCUUCAACACAUUGAGGUGGAUUUUUAGCAAAAUGCUUCAUCACUUUGCUAGUUGCUUUCUUCAUCAUAUAAGCAUUCACUUCUACUCGAACAUGUUCCGGAGCCUUAGGACAUUUCUUUGCAUUCCUAUAACCACCCACUAUAUGUUGUUUCAUGCGAAAUGCUCCUCCAUUUGUCACUUUUAGACAAAAUUGACAAGUCCACGCAUAAGGAUUGGUUGGAUUCGGUGUCCCAUAUUUUCUAGCCGGAUCCCGCUCAUCAUCAUCCCCCGUUGAUGAUGAUACACGAGACUUACCCGAAGACAUUGAGAUUUUGAGAGUAAAACUGAAAUUAAAAAAUAAAAUUUAUUCAAUUAUAAAUUUAUAACAUCAAUCAAAACUGAAAUUAUAAAAAACAACUUAAAAAACUGACCUACAAUGUUGAAUUUGAAAAUUGAAACUCAAAAACAACUUCAAAAACUGAACUACAAUAUUGCAUUUAAAAGUUGAAAUUCAAAAUAAACUUCAAAAACUGAAAUACAAGUUAAAACUCAAAAAAUGAACUUCAAAAACUGAAGCCUUACGUGCUGGAGGCUGGCGGCGGCGGCGGCGGACGGCUGGGGCUGGCGGCGGCGGCGGGGGCUGGCUGGCGACGCCGGUAUGUGAGCAAAGAGGGGAAGACGCAAGGAGAGAGAAGAGAGGAGAAAUGAGGCGCGGCUGGUGUGUUAUUUUUUUAGUUUUAAACAAAAUUGUACCCUAACCCUAAUUCUACAUAAGGUGGCGCCUUAGUGAGCCUGCGCCUAGGCGCGCCUUUCGCGCCUUAUUGCGCCUUGGCUGCGCCUCUAGUAGGUUCCCGCGCCUUGCCUAAAAAGGCCCCCCCACCCUGCGCCUCGCUUAAGGCGCGCGCCUAGGCGCGCUUUUUAAAACCCAGAACUCGACAUCUCUUCUCUGAGUGAUUUCAGUAUGAUUUUAUCUGCAUUAUAGUGGGAAACGAUUCACCAAAAAAAAUUCACACCAAACCACUCACAUGUGCUCUAUUAAAACAUUACAAAUAGAGUUACAACUGCGAAUCUACAUGGUGUUGUUCUAUGAGAUGGUGCCUUACUUAAGGCAAAGGAAAAUUAAAUGAUGUCAAAAAUGGAUUGUUUUGGCAGACAUGAAAUUUUUCCAGUUGCACACCCCCUAAAGUUUUCAUUAUGUGCAUUAACAGAUAUGUAGAUUAGAUGAAUAGAAAAUCGACAUAUGCCCGAUUUAAAAACUCUUCAUCAUUCACCACAACAUGAUAUAUACACAUUUCUGAAAAGAACAUUUACAACAUAAGAAUACAUGAUUCACACAAACACCAGCGGAUGCACACAUUCACAUGAGCAACAAUGUCAUCAAAUGAGAAACAGAAGUAUAUCCACGUAUGUAUAUCAACCAAUUAUACCUCAUACUUGCCCAUUAAAAUUGGAUAUCUUUGGAGAAGCAGCCAAAGAAUUUCGAGAACAGUCGCCAAGAAACCUAGAAGCAGCUUGAUACCUUCAAAAUUGGGUCUCGAUAUUCAAAUAAUUAAAAAUUCAAUUAGUUUCGAUAAAACAAUGUUGUUAGAGCAAUGAGAUGAAUUUUAAUUUGAGAUUCCACAAAAUGUAGUGCACACGAAAAAACCCUAGAAACUUCUCGAGGAUUGGAGUGCGCAUGAUAGAAAUUUGUACCUUCUUCAGAUUUCUCGCAGUAAGAGAUACAUAUAAGAAAUAUGACAGCCAAAAAUUAAUUUUACCUUGUUCAGAUUUCAGGACGAACAAUAUUCUUCAAACCAGACAUCGACGAGCUCACUCUAGAAUAAUGUAUUCUGCACCCAACCUAAAAAUAUUUUAAUUGGAAUUGUGGAUAAAAUUGUAACCUAACAAUAUAACUAGGAACACUGUAGCCGUUCCGAAUCUGUAUCUGAGGCUGAGCUGCGGUACUGCAUUUAAUGUUACUCCUUCCGUCUAAUAUUAAUGACUCGUUUCUUUUAGGCACAAGUAUUUAGGAAAGUUAAAUUAG
rnacentral:lncRNA from 1 species